GUGACUGUGUCGUCAACUUCACGCAGAAAGCAGGAAGACAUUUGACAAAAACAAAUCAGAACUUAAAAGUGUAACCUGUCUGUUUGCUCGCUUGUCUUCCCCCGGUUGAGACAAAUGUCUUCGGAUGCGGUCGAUGUGGAUGAUGUGGAGGAUGAUGAUGUGGAGUUCGUAUCCGAAGGUCCUCUCAGGCCCGUGCUGGAGUUCAUUGACCUCUCCAGUGAUGAUGACAAAGAGUCUUCAGAAAUCGCACGCGCCGAUGUAAAGGCCGAGGAUGAGGUUGACCAGCACAAAGCCCAGGUCACCUCGACGUUGGACAGACUUGCACGGAAAGUGGCUGCUGAAAAACAAGAGAGAGCUGACAAGUGCAAGGCCUUCAAGAGGAAGGUGAUUUCACAACAGGCUCAUGGCAGACAAGAGCUGGCAUUCAGUGACGGCAAUGGAGAGGGCCAUGACGCCAAGCGCUGCGUUGACAUGUGGCUAAAGAUGCCGGGGGUGAAGCCGGGCGUCAUCAACAAUGGAGGAGGGUGGAGGAGACGGUCGGCAGCCUCGGCUGCCAUGUUCAAGGCCAGCCCUCAGACCUGCCCCGUCAUCAACUGCGGACGCGUCUACGAGAACAAGGCACUCCUGGAGGGACACCUCAUCAGGUUUGACCACUCUCCCUGUGACCCCAGCAUCCUCUUGAAGGGGAAUCCUUCUGUUCAAUUUGCAUGUGUCGCCUGUGGCUCCUACUUUGACACCAAAGACUCCUGGAGGACGCAUCAACAGGCCAAGAUAUCCUCAUCCAACCCUGGGAAUCAUAGGAGCUCCCAGACGUGUCAGCAGAUGGUAGCCUUUGCAUGUCCAUCCUGUUGCCUCCUCUUCAACAUCAAGGAAGAGUGCCAUCAGCAUAUGACGGAGAAAGACCACUUCACAGAGUGCAUUAGAGGCUUUGCUUCCAAAGAUGUGGCCACGCCUGUACCUGUCCCCCGCUACGCCAAGAACCGCCUCAUCGCGCUCUGCAAGGACGUGACCUCCAGCGUCCGAUGCUCGGGGUGCAAAAAACGCCUGGCGUCGCACAUGGAGGCACGGGCACAUUUCAAUGUGCACUGCCGGAACGCCACAGCCAUGGCGGUAGCGGAGCAGACGGUCGCCGAGGUGAUGCGGCAGCGCAUGGGCGUCCUGGGCCGCUGCACGGCCUGUCCCAAGCUCUUCCACAAGCCCUUCCAGAUGGACGAGCACAAGCAACAGACGGCGCAUCACGUGGAGCUGACGGGCUGCAUGGAGAAAGCCCUGCUGCACUACAGCGAUGUGCAGGAGACCCUGCAGCUGGCCGGCAGGGCUCCAGGAGCCCCGGCAGCAGGAUCGUCCACCCCAGGCGCAGGGCCGUCCAAGCGGGCCAGGGGGCAAACGGAGUCCCCUCAGGGGAGCAGCCAGGACACCCCUGCCAAGCGGAAGAAGCGAACAGCCUCGGCUGACGGAGGCUUGCCUGGGUCAGGUGGUGGUGUUGAGCUGACCACGGUGUGGAGUUGCGAGUGUGGCCAGCGCUUCCCCGAGGAGGCGCAGGCCACCGCGCACCUGCUGGCGGUCAACCAGGUGUUCCACAAGUGCGCCGUCUGCGGCAAGCUGAUGGGCGAGGCGUCCAUCACCCGGCUGCACAUGAGCCGCUUCCACGGCGGCGCGCACCUCUCCAACUUCCUGCUGCACUGCCGGCCGUGCCGCCUGGACCUGCCGCGCAUGCAGGACAUCAUGGCGCACGUGGCCGCCGAGCACCAGGGACACACCUUCUACCUGGAGAAACAGGAAGAGGCCAUAGCAGCGGCGGGGGUAGGGGCGGGCGGUAAAGCCCAGAUACACCCUCUCCUGGAUGAAGCCGCCUCCACCAGCUCUGGGGGUGGGGGUGGUGCAGGGGCGGCGUCGGCGGCGUCUGCCUCUCCACUGCCCGACCAGCAGACGUGGCUGUGCCGCAUGUGUGAGGAGCUGUUCGAGACGGAGGCGGCGGUACAGGCCCACUGCGGUGACAUGGCGGCCCACAGCUUCCAGCGGCUGGCGUGCGCCCUCUGCCCCCAGAAGUUCUUCAAGGAAGCCACGUUGCGGAGGCACGUCUUCACGGAGCACCAGAGCCUGGAGCCGGCAGCCGCCACACGUUACUUCUGCGGCCUGUGUGACAGCAUGCUGUUCGACACAGAGGACGAGUUCCAGCAGCACUACAGCAGCAUACACGCCAAGGAUUACUACUGUCUGGAACCCGCACCGCAGCCCAGCACAUCCACAGCCACAUCCACAUCUACAGGCACCACAGCCGCAUCUCCAGCCACAGCCAGGACGACAGCAAAGCGGCAUACAGAGCCUCAUCCGGAGCAUCAGAAGCGUCAGCGUCAGCAGCAGCAGCAGCAGCAGAGGGCCCCAGCAGCAGCAGCAGCAGCCGUGGUGGUGGAGGAUGACGACGACGCAGACCCGGACUCCACCACCAGCGACCCGGACGGCCUGUGUGGCUGCAUGGCCGUGGAGCUGCCCAAGGAGGGGGCGAAGGCCGUCUACACGCGCUGCAUGAAGCAGCUAGCUAGCGAGCUCAAGUGCUUCUACUCCUGCGGGUUCUGCGUCCAGCAGGCCCCGUCUUACGCACAGAUCAAGACGCACGUGCACACCAAGCACAGCACCGCGGUGGCCAAGCACGCCGCCAACGCCACCCCCAACAAAGGCUUCUCGGUGGUCUGCGGGACGUGCUCGGAGAAACACGAUGACGUGCCAGCCUUCCACAGCCACUAUCAUGCACAGCACUGCCCCCUGGAGCCAUGUGCCAGCGCGCGCAGCCAGAUCCCAGAUGAGGAGGUAGUGGAGACAGUGGAGGCCUCAACUAGUGCCAAGAUACUGCACGCUCAGGAGAUACUGCCGGAGAAGAAUGCAGAAGAAUUUCAAGACGUGAAACGGGCCAUGUCAAUUGUCUCUCCUUUGAAAGAAGACAAGAAAUCUGACGACGAGUCUGAUGAGGAGCUGAAGCGUGCUCUGGCCCUGAGUGAAGAAGAAGCAAAGAAGCCUACCCCCUUUGAUAAUGCAGACACAUGCAUGCAAGAGCAUGACCCCAAAAUAGAUGUGAAGAUGUAGCAGGUGACAGAAAGGAUUCGGUCUGUCCAGGCUUUGGCCAGGCCCAGCCAAGGGAACUGGAUGAAUAGAAGGCCAGAAUUGGAAGAAGCUCUAAGAAGAAGUUUGGAAGAGUUCUAAUAUUGCAAAAGAACAUGUAUUUGUUUUUGUUGUCUGAGACAUACAUGUGCGGUUCAUGAUUUUUAUGUUUGUAUUGUAUGUACAUAAUUACUUCAAAUAAAACAGGAAUGCUUGA